rnacentral:rRNA from 1 species
CCUACGGGAGACAGCAGUGAGGAAUACUGGUCAAUGGACGAGAGUCUGAACCAGCCAAGUAGCGUGAAGGAUGACUGCCCUAUGGGUUGUAAACUUCUUUUAUAUGGGAAUAAAAUGUUCCACGUGUGGGAUUUUGUAUGUACCAUAUGAAUAAGGAUCGGCUAACUCCGUGCCAGCAGCCGCGGUAAUACGGAGGAUCCGAGCGUUAUCCGGAUUUAUUGGGUUUAAAGGGAGCGUAGGUGGAUUGUUAAGUCAGUUGUGAAAGUUUGCGGCUCAACCGUAAAAUUGCAGUUGAAACUGGCAGUCUUGAGUACAGUAGAGGUGGGCGGAAUUCGUGGUGUAGCGGUGAAAUGCUUAGAUAUCACGAAGAACUCCGAUUGCGAAGGCAGUUCACUGGACUGCAACUGACACUGAGGCUCGAAAGUGUGGGUAUCAAACAGGAUUAGAUACCCCAGUAGUC